rnacentral:rRNA from 1 species
CCCGCUGAACUUAAGCAUAUCAAUAAGCGGAGGAAAAGAAACUAACAAGGAUUCCCUUAGUAACUGCGAGUGAAGUGGGAAAAGCUCAAAUUUAGAAUCUGGCAGUCACUUGGCUGUCCGAGUUGUAAUCUAGAGAAGUGUUGCCCGUGCUGGACCAUGUACAAGUCUCCUGGAAUGGAGCAUCACAGAGGGUGAGAAUCCUGUCUUUGACAUGGACUGCCAGUGCUUUUGUGGUACGCUCUCAAAGAGUCGAGUUGUUUGGGAAUGCAGCUCAAAAUGGGUGGUAAAUGCCAUCUAAAGCUAAAUAUUGGCGAGAGACCGAUAGCGAACAAGUACCGUGAGGGAAAGAUGAAAAGAACUUUGGAAAGAGAGUGAAACAGUACGUGAAAUUGUUGAAAGGGAAACGCUUGAAGUCAGUCGCGCCGUUCGGGAUUCAGCCUUGCUUCUGCUCGGUUUACUUCCUGUUGGGUGGGUCAACAUCAGUUUUGGUCGGAGGAGAAAGGCUUGGGGAAUGUGGCAGCAUUCGUGCUGUGUUAUAGCCCCUUGUUGUAUACUUCGGCUGGGACUGAGGACCGCAGCACGCCUUUGGCCGGGGUUCGCCCACGUACGUGCUUAGGAUGUUGGCAUAAUGGCUUUAAGCGACCCGUCUUGAAACACGG